rnacentral:rRNA from 1 species
GACGAACGCUGGCGGCGUGCCUAAUACAUGCAAGUCGAACGCAGUGGGUACGGGUGAGUAACACGUGGGUAACCUCCCAUCAGAGGGGAUAACACUUGGAAACAGGUGCUAAACCGAUACUGAUGGAUGGACCCGCGGUGCAUUAGCUAGUGGGUGAGGUAACGGCUCACCAAGGCCACGAUGCAGCGCGGACCUGAGAGGGUGAUCGCCCACACUGUGACUGGGCAACGGCCCAGACUCCUACGGGAGGCAGCAGUAGGGAAUCUUCGGCAAUGGACGAAAGUCUGACCGGGAAACGCCGCGUGAGUGAAGAAGGUUUUCGGAUCGUAAAACUCUGUUGUUAGAGAAGCGGUAACUAACCAGAAAGCCACGGCUAACUACGUGCCAGCAGCCGCGGUAAUUC